CCCUGAGAAAUAUUAGAAAAUACGUGUCUUAGUUAUUUUAUAAAAUUUGCUGCACUGAUAAAUAUCCAGAUAAAACUAAGUUAAGGGAACACUGCUUUAGUAUGGAUUAUAGCUCCAAAGCAAUACAGUCCAUCCAGACUAUGAAACAGAGCAGCAGGCAGGAAAGGCACAGUGGCCGAACCAGAGCACUUGCUAGGCACAUGGGAUCUGUACUCAUGAAGCCAAGAGUGAAAUGCAAGUGGAGCUGUGCUGUCACAUCACAAGUGGCUACCAGUGGACUUGCUUCCUCUACCAAGGUUCCACCUCCUAUAGAUGCUACCAGUAAGGAUCAAGUCUUCAAACAUGAAUAUAUGGGGUGCAUUUUGCAUUUAGACCACAUCAGUCAGUAUUGUAAGAGAUUGUUGGCGGGCAUUGUUUUUACUACCCAUUCCUUUCUUACAUUUUAAUAUAUCUUGAUUUCUUCUUCAUGAAAUCACUUAGGUUCCAACAUAUCUGUGUGCUGCAAUGCAAAGGCUAUGCCAAGCCUUGAGUUCAAAAACAGAAACAUAAGCACCUGCCAACAUUCCAGUCAAGAAUCCUAUAUCUGUCCAGAGCUUAGACAAGAGAUUUAUUCCCAGGACAUUGAAAAUUGUUGUGAUAAUAGAGAAAAGUUGUGAACAAACUCCCAGAAUCCUAUGUUCUUGCUGAUCCUUUCAAAUAACCACAGUCAAAUCUCCACAGUUUUAUUCCUAUUGUCUUAGUUUUGUCCUGUUGAGGCUCCUCCUCCAUUCUAUGAGCUUCUGAAAUCAAGCCUAUAAACUGCCCAUGAUGGCACGUAACUGGCAUCCCAGUACUUGGGAGAUAGCAAUAGGAGGACCAACAGGUCUAGGUCAUCCUUAAGAACACAGCGAGUUUGAGACCACCCUCGGGUACAGGAGACAUUGCAACAAACAAAUAAUGCAAAAUAAGCAAGCAAACAAACAACAAAAUAAGCUCACAAAUUUGUUUGCUUAAUUUAGCUAUAACUAUUUGUAUUCCUUUCAACAUAUUCUCCAUCUACCUACACGCCUUCUAGAGUAGCAGACAUAUGACCUCUAAAGAAGAAAAAGUAUUUCUAAGUGAUCAAAAUAUAUACGUGAGUAAACUGGAGAUGACAAAGAGUCACCAGCAAAACUGAGUAGCCAGUUCAAUCUAAAUGAUAUAAACUCACAUAUUUAUGAUGUCCAAAUGUAAUUGAUCAUCUAUGCAGUGAACAUUUCAUGAACAUAACUUUUAAAAUAAGUAGGAUAAUGAUUUCCCAGUCCCAUCAAGAUGUUAGGUUUUUUUAUAAAUACAUCAUAAAAUAUAUCCCUGAAGACAUCAUUGCAUAUAUCAACUGAAGACAUGGUGAAUUCAUUAUAAAAAAAUUUCCAACACAAUUUUUCUACACAGAACAAUCUGAGAAAUAAACACAUUACAAAUCAUCCCAAAAUCUCCUAGGUACUGCUAAGAACAGAUGCCACACUGUGCACAUAUCCUUAAUCCCAGUACUCAGGAGGCAAAGACAGGUGGAUCUCUGAAUGUGAGGUCUAUGAGGGAAGUUCCAGAUCAGCCAGGAAAACAGCAAAACCCUGUCUCAAAAAAAGCCUCAAAUGCAAAAAUUUCCUGUAAUUUUUGGGGGCAACUGUUUAAAGGAUCAACUGUUUUUGACAGCAAUGAAUGACUUUCUAUUUUAGCCUAGACUUUGAUUGAACUCUUAUUAAUGAUUAGAAAUGGAAUACAGAAUCUAGAUACAAGUCAGAGAAAGUAGCUACAUGUAGAUUCAAGUGCUGUCUUUAUCUCUAGUCAGCCAUUUAACUGGGCAACUCAAAUAACCUUUUCUUUUUCUUUUUUCUUUCUUUCUUUUUUUCUUUACCCACAAUUUGAGAUUAGACAAAUUUUCAACAGGCUCAAGCCUUCUAGAAUUCUCACCGUGAUUUCUCUGUGUAGCUUGAUUCCCAUAUGGUGCUUAGAUCUGAAAAUAGUAUGAAUGUGGGAAGAAUCCUAGGAGGAGUGUGGUGACGGUCCAUGGGUAUCAGAGGAGGACUCACAUGCAGUCGCUUAUAUUAGAAUUCAAGAAUAUAAACGUCCUUAAUGCACUGGGCUAUAGGAAUAACCAUACCACUCAUGCACUGGACAGCCUCGUGCUUUAAAGACGUUAAAAAGAUUGGACUUAAAAUGAUAAAGAAAUUUAAAGCCAAAAAUUUGAUGUUGCUUUUAACUAACAUCUACUGUACAUUUUGUCCUCGGUUUCUGGAAAGAAAAUAUGUCACUCUAUCUAUUUUGAGUUUUUGCUUCUGUUUGUAGAGAAGAUACACUUUCUCUCUGGAAAUUGUCUUUUGAGUGCCAUGGUAACCACAUCCUUUCCAGUCAAGUCUGCCCUGUGGGCUGCGCAAUUUAAGACAUUUGAAAAUGCCACUGAAGAAGAUAACACCAAACAGACAUGAAAGGCAUUGGUGUGGAAGACCGUGGGUAAGAAGGACAGAGAAAUAAUAAGACUCUAGCUGAAAGGUAAGCAGGGUUACUGUGGACAUUGUCCUUACAGGGCUGUGUGAGCUGCAGGUUCCCAAGGUCCAAGUGAGCACAUGUGUCUCCCGUGACAGAAACCAGACUUCCAAAUGUCAGAAGAAUUAUGCUUUGAUGAUUCUAUGUCAUCACAGAAAAUGAGAGCCACCGACAGUCUAUUAAUAGGCAGUGACAUUUUCCUAUGAUAAGUGCAAUGGAAAGACUUAGUUGUGGGGCACAGAAUAUGGUACAAGCCUCCAUUGGCUGGUGAAGGGGCUGGGGCAUGCAUUUGCAGCCAUUGUGUGAUGAUCAAAAAAAUUGCUGGUUCUGGAACGAUGGCUCAGCUAUUAUGAUCAUUUGCUCUUGUAGAGGAACCAGGUUUGACUCCCAGCAUCUGCAUCAUGGGAGGCUCAUAAUCCUCCAUAACUCCAGUUACAAGGGAUCAGGAGCCCUCUUCUGACCCCUGCAGCCACGAGUCACACACACAUUGAACAAACGUGCAUGUGCUUCUCAAGGGAAACAUAACAACAGAUCCUGAAGAAAUCCAAAACACCAUCAGAUCCUUCUACAAAAGGCUAUACUCAACAAAACUGGAAAACCUGGAUGAAAUGGACAAGUUUCUAGACAGAGACCAG